rnacentral:rRNA from 1 species
AGGGGGAUAACUACUGGAAACGGUAGCUAAUACCGCAUAACGUCUUCGGACAAAGUGGGGGACCUUCGGGCCUCACACCAUCGGAUGUGCCCAGAUGGGAUUAGCUAGUAGGUGGGGUAAUGGCUCACCUAGGCGACGAUCCCUAGCUGGUCUGAGAGGAUGACCAGCCACACUGGAACUGAGACACGGUCCAGACUCCUACGGGAGGCAGCAGUGGGGAAUAUUGCACAAUGGGCGCAAGCCUGAUGCAGCCAUGCCGCGUGUAUGAAGAAGGCCUUCGGGUUGUAAAGUACUUUCAGCGGGGAGGAAGGCGAUAAGGUUAAUAACCUUGUCGAUUGACGUUACCCGCAGAAGAAGCACCGGCUAACUCCGUGCCAGCAGCCGCGGUAAUACGGAGGGUGCAAGCGUUAAUCGGAAUUACUGGGCGUAAAGCGCACGCAGGCGGUCUGUCAAGUCAGAUGUGAAAUCCCCGGGCUUAACCUGGGAACUGCAUUUGAAACUGGCAGGCUAGAGUCUUGUAGAGGGGGGUAGAAUUCCAGGUGUAGCGGUGAAAUGCGUA